UCACCAUCCACAUUUUCUGAUGACACGACUUUACCGUAUAGAGCAAUCUCUUUCUCUUGCUUUCUCUGGAAAUGCAUAAAAUGACACUGCAGUGGAGAUUAGUGACUAAGCCGGAGGACUGGAUGCUCUUGAUCUUCUGAUAUCUAAAAUGCGGGCCUCGACAUCUUCUUUAUCCAGACAGGAGCAUGCUGCAUAGUUGCUUUUGCAUCUCUUCUGACUAGUUGCUGGCUAUGUUGCCGUUUGUCUCUCCGUCCUGCAUGUCGUGGUAGUGGCCUGGGUACCCUGUAUCUCUUACUCUAAAACUUUGGGUGGGUCCUUGUAUGGGACACCAUUGUGUUCGUAUGUCUGGUUGGAUGGUUCGUCUGGAACUUUGCCUAGUGGCUUUAUUUGUAAAGUCGGGGCAUGCCUUUUCUCUAAAAAAGUAAUGCAACUUCAUUA